rnacentral:misc_RNA from 1 species
GGCAUUAGAAACAAGCAGAUCCAACAUUUAAUUUUAACAAGACUGGUUCAAUGACAAGUCAUUACAACUUUGUAACAUGUCAUAUAAAUUGAAAGUUAUUUGGUUAUAGCAAAAAUGAAUAUACUAAUGACAGUUCAUUGUUUAUAAAUAAUUUUAUAGGUCUUUUUUUUUUUAAAUUGCAAUUUACACAAUUUGUAUCUCAUACUUUUGCUUGGUGCCUACGAAAUAAGAUUUUCAAUGAUGAGGAUUAUAUAGAUUUUAAAUUUUCAUUCUCUUGUGAGGAAUUUUUUGUUGUUGUAAUUUUAUUUUGUCUUUAGUAUCCGUUUAAAAGACCACGUGCAUCUAUGUGAAAUGGCAAAAUUGUCUCUGAAUCUAAUGUUUGAGAGCAGUAACAAAUAUGAAUGAAUGUGAAAAAAACCCAUGCAUUUCUAUAAAUUGAUAGUAAUAAGUGACAGGUAUUAGAGAGGAAGUAAUUUGUAUCUUGAAAAAAUGAAAGAGAGAGAGAGAGAAGUGAGAGAGAGGAAAGAGAGAGAGAAGGGGUGGACCUUGAAAGUGGAUUGCUUUUCUAAACUGUUAAAAAUUGUAUUCAUCGAUUUGGUUGGAAAUUAAUUUGCUUACUAUUGUAAUUCGGGUUGCAGAAUGAAUGAAUGAAAGAGCACGUGCGAGUCAAUAUAACAACGUAUGAGUCAUUACAAAAAUGAUUUUAAAUGCAAGACUGAAGAGUUUAGAUUUUCUUGGCGUUGUUUAAUGCAUAACUACAAUUGCUCUGUAUUGUUGGUAUUCUGAUUCCUAGAGCAUACUCUGUUAGUUUGAUUGGUGCUUCAGUUUUAUUCAGAUUGCUUUUUAUGUAAAACUGAAGCACAUCAAUUCAUAGUCGUGCUAUUUUUAAUUUUGUUUUUAUUUUGUAUUCUGUCAUUUUAUGCACUGUAUUUGCAAUUGAUAUCUAAACAAAUAUGCACCAUUUGAAAAGAAAUGAAACUUUAAAACGGAAAAACCCAUUGCCAGCCGAAAUUUUUUGUUUAACUUUAUCACGUUUACACAAUCGAUGCAAGUGUUUCAGUUGAAUACCGCGCAAUCAAAAUCAUUUGGUGCAUAUUUGAAGGCUAAGUUUGUAUUGCUAGGUGUCACGUUAUCUUUUUUUCCGUCUUCUCUUUGUAGGUUUAUGUCAAGAUGUUUCACGCCUCACCUUUUUAUGUAAAUUCUACUAGUAGCAAGGACGUCGUUGUAAUUGCGUCAGUAUGUAUCAUGUUAUAUUAAUUUGUUCACUGGAUUAUUGCCGGAGACUCCAAAGUUAUCAUCGAGAGCGCACUCACCGAUGGAAAGUGUUCGAAAGAAGUGGAUAAUACAGACAGGAUAUUGAAGAUUGUCAGUGGAUGGAAUAUAGAAGAAUGUGCAACGGGAAAUUUUGCCAUGUGUUUGAUAUAGUUUUGAAAUAAAUGUGUAAAUAC